UAGUGUCGCUGGUUUAUUAAACUGCGACGCAUUUGACUAAUUAAUUAAUAUUUUUCUCGAUCAGCUCGACCUCACCCGCGCCAACAAACAGUAUUAUCACAGCGCAAUUUCACACAAUUGAAAAAACACCAUACAACCUAAUCGAAAAAAACAAACAAACACUAGUACUCCGCCGACCAUCCCUCGCCGACCAUCUUCUACUCUACCGGUCAGGCUUACUACGCCGUCUACUCCUACUGUGCCUGCCUUUCACCGCCGCGGCCGCCGGCUCCAGUUUCUUCCUCCUACGUCGCCGCGACCAGAAGAAAAAAUCAAACUCGCCUUCAGUUUCUCCCUGCCUUUCACCGUCGCGGCCGCCGCCUCCCUGUUUUCUCCCUCCUCUUCUCCAAUUGGUUCACCACAUCCAACCAGGAAAAUGUCGACGAGUACAAUCAAAUGUAUAAAAUAGAGAGAGUGCAUCAACUUGUUUGUUUGAGUUACUUCCUUCCUUUGUUUAACUUGCGGCUUCAGGGAAUCAUGUAUUGAAAUUUGUCAUGUAUUGAAAUUUGUCACAUUUUACUGGUUUACAUUCUAGAGGCAUUUUGACUGGUUUACUGAUAGUAUAUCUUGGGUUGGUACGGAAAUGGGAUCGCCAUCAUCAGACUCAUUACUCAGCAGGCUGGAAAGCCUUAAGCCUCCAAUGUGUUGUUGCAUUGUAAUGCUCCUCGUUGGAAACUUGUGAAGCUUGCUAUUCCUUGAGAUGACAAAGAACCUUGCAUCAAUGCAGCAAUCUCUACCAGUUACAUUUUGAUUGUGCUUAACUGAAACAAAGAUGUUGUUGGGUGAUAAAUUUGACGUGACUCUCCUUACGUAGUUCACUGAUAAAUUUGGCGUGGCUUUCCUUACUUUGUACGCCUGUUAGUGAUAAUAUUGACUUACUAUAUAUACUUGUCUUUGGGUUAGGUACCUGUUCUAACUGAUGCAACAUCAGCUACAGUUCUGAUAAAAUAACGCAAAUAAAAUAACAGUAGCAACAUUUGAUAAUAAGAAGGGAAACAGCCAACCUGUCUACUAAUUUCAUGGAGGAUGAAGAUAUCUUGACCUUGGACACCCAAAUGAAUAAGAGCCAUCAGAUGAAGAGGAAAAUUCAGAGCGACCAAACGAGUCACAAAAUCAAGCGAACCAGAAGAAGAAAAGGAAGUCAAGAGGUCCUUCAAAAGGGCUAAAAUCCUUGCCUGGGGUUCCAAGAAUGAUUGAGUGGGAUUGCUUGAACCGACCCAUGGGAAAAUGGGAAAAAUAAUUCAAGAAUCACAAUGGCGAGAUAAGCCGCACAAAAGUCUCAAUAUUGACUAAAUAUUGGAAAGACGUUUCGCAAGGAAUAAAAGACACAUUGUGGGAAGAUGUCAAGGAAAUAAGCGAGAAAGCAAGAAAGAGCCAAUCUUUCAACAAAUAUCCUCAUCACAUGGGACAAAAAUCGUAUGCCAAAAAGACCGGUGAAUGGUGUAGAAAGGGUACAUUUCCUCGGUUUCUUAGGCAUCCACUGGUUCCUCUAGUUCCACGGUUGUUUCAAGUUUUCCGGAAAGGACAUAUGCAUGGCUUCUUGCAAGAUCAGUAGAAGAUGAGAAAGGAAAUUCAUACUUGCCGGAUGAGGAAACACAAAAGGUCAAAGAAUCAAUUGUAAGUCAUGGCUAAAUCAUUCUUAUUUAGUCGGAGUUCUAGCUUGACUAAACUCGAUCAGUUUAGUUUAGAACACUACCCGUCUUCACAUUUGAACAUAAUAAAAUGAUCUGCACAGAAUAGAACUGAACUGAGCUGCACAGAAUAGAACUGAUCUAUGCAAGAACAAAACUGAACUGCAUUGAACAGAACUGAUAUGUGCAGAAAAGAACUGAUCUAUGCAGAACAUAACUGAUCUGUGUAGAACAGAACUGAACUACAUAGAUCAGUUAUGUUCACACAGAACAUAAUCGAUCUAUGCAGAACAUAAUUGAACUGCACAUUUCAGUUCUGUUCUGCACAGAUCAGUUUAGUUCUAUGCAGUUCGGUUCAGUUCUGCACAGUUUAGUUUUGUUCUAUGUAGAUCAGUUAUGUUCUGUGCAGUUCAGUUCUGUUAUACACAUAUCAGUUCUAUUCUGUUUAGAUCAGUUAUGUUCUGUGCAGUUUAGUUCUGUUCUGUGCAGAUCAUUUUUGUUCUGUGCAGAUCAGUUCUGUUCUGCACAUAUCAUUUCUAUUAUGUGCAGAUCAGUUCUUUGAAGAAGUGUUAAUUUUUUCUAAGACUUUUUGGUUUCAUGUAGUAUGAACGGAAAAAGAAACAAGAGGAAGGGAUAUUUGUUCCUCAUCGGUUUGAUGAUGUUUUAUCUCGUGCACUUGGUUAGACUCGCAAUAGGAGACCACUUACAUUUUGGUAGUGGAGUAGGCAUCAAAUCUGUGUGGGGGACCGGAGAGCGGCGUAGUUACCGACAAAUUGAAGAUGUAGAGCUCAUGGAAAUGGAAGCAAGAGUAACCCAAAGGGUUGGAGAUGAGACAAUACAAGAGAUAAACUCCUAGAUGGAUGUCAUGGUUAAGGAGAAAUUUAUCACAUUCGCUAAAGAACUGGGUAUCCAAAUACCAAGUUAUAUGAUGGAGGAUGUUCCUAGUAGUUGUCAAUCUGGGGGUUUUGAUCCAUUUGCAAACAUUCAGGAGCAUGUCCCAUGCCGGCUACUCUUGUUCAUAAACUCCGAGAAAGUCUUUGUUGCCUAUGGUACCAUACAUUCGGAGUUGACUCUUGAUCACCUUAAGAACCUCAAUCCUGAUAACGUGAAGGUGAGUGUUGAUGAAAUUGAGCCCGCGUAUAAACAAGCUUCAGUCCCCGAGCCUUCUCAAUAUAUAAAGAAAUUUGGACAAGCUCAUGGUACUUUCACUCAGUGGCCAAAGAAUUUGGUUUCGCUUGUGAAUACCGAGCUCAGGUAAACGAGCCUACAGGAAAAGAGCCUAAUAGGAAAGAGGCUACAAGCAAAGAGCCUAAAGGGAAAGAGGCUACAAGGAAAGGGCCUAAAGGGAAAGAGAUAGUGGUUGGAAGUGGACGCGAGACAAAAGGGUCCAACACUAAACCAAAGAAACAUUUUCUUGCCGUUUAUGCCUUGCAAACUUUGGGCGUUAAGUGCAAUUUUAUAAAAACUGUGAUGUCUAAAUUAAAAGAAGGGGAGGAUAUUAAGUUACAAGGUAGUAAAAGGGCAUUCAAUUUGGAAAACGACCGUGAAAUUAAUAUCACCGUUGAAGACAUCAAUCAACUUCUCUCCGGAGCAUGGCUCAAUAUAUCGAUAUUGCAAGUUUUUAUAAUGGCUUUAUAUGAGUUGUGUGAUGAAGAUGAUAAACUUGCCAAUGCUUUUGGAUUCAUGUGCUCGGAGAUGAUCUCGGAAACCAUGUUGUAUAGUGAUAUAAUUCGUAUUCUAUCAUACAUGUCGAAAUCCAUGGAAACACUCAGUUCUAAGCCAUUCAUCUUACGUCCAUACUACGAAAAUUAUUUUCUUGGCUAAACGUGAGGACUACACAUUUGAUUCUAUGAAGAAGAGGAGAAAUUUGAUGAUUAAGAACCAAUUGAACACUGUCCUCAACAACCGGGAUCACUAGAGUGUGUCUACUACGUCAUGCGUUUUAUGUACGAGAUAUUUACAAAGCAUCAUGAGAGUCAAGAUCUUACUACGAACAGAGCCUUAUUCAUUGGAGGAGAUUAAUAAGGUUAAAGAAUUUUGGGCUGAUUACUUCAUGACCAAUUCCGUUUUAUCUGUCUUGAUUUGAACUAGAUUUCUAGCUAACUAGUUUGUUGUAAUAUUUAACUUAAAUUUUUAUGUUUGAAGUGUAGUUAGGCUCGUUAUCAACAUGUUGGUUGAUCUAUAUAUGAUGGAUUUGCCUUUUAUAAUAUUGGUUGUA